GACGAACGCUGGCGGCGUGCUUAACACAUGCAAGUCGAACGGAAAGGCCCUGCUUUUGUGGGGUGCUCGAGUGGCGAACGGGUGAGUAACACGUGAGUAACCUGCCCUUGACUUUGGGAUAACUUCAGGAAACUGGGGCUAAUACCGGAUAGGAGCUCCUGCUGCAUGGUGGGGGUUGGAAAGUUUCGGCGGUUGGGGAUGGACUCGCGGCUUAUCAGCUUGUUGGUGGGGUAGUGGCUUACCAAGGCUUUGACGGGUAGCCGGCCUGAGAGGGUGACCGGCGACAUGGGGACUGAGAUACGGAGCAGACUGCUACGGGAGGCAGCAGGGGGGAAUAUUGCACAAUGGGCGGAAGCCUGAUGCAGCAACGCCGCGUGCGGGAUGACGGCCUUCGGGUUGUAAACCGCUUUCGCCUGUGACGAAGCGUGAGUGACGGUAAUGGGUAAAGAAGCACCGGCUAACUACGUG
rnacentral:rRNA from 1 species